rnacentral:rRNA from 1 species
UACGGAGGAUGCGAGCGUUAUCCGGAUUUAUUGGGUUUAAAGGGAGCGUAGGCGGGCUGUGUAAGUCAGCGGUCAAAUCGUGCGGCUCAACCGUGCGUCGCCGUUGAUACUGCCGGUCUUGAGUGCACAAGAGGUGGACGGAAUUCAUGGUGUAGCGGUGAAAUGCUUAGAUAUCAUGAAGAACUCCGAUUGCGAAGGCAGUCCACUGGGGUGCUACUGACGCUGAAGCUCGAAGGUGCGGGUAU